rnacentral:rRNA from 1 species
GACAGAGGGUGCAAGCGUUAAUCGGAAUUACUGGGCGUAAAGCGUGCGUAGACGGUUACAUAAGUCGGGUGUGAAAGCCCCGGGCUCAACCUGGGAAUUGCAUUCGAGACUGCGUAGCUAGGGUGCGGAAGAGGGAAGCGGAAUUUCCGGUGUAGCGGUGAAAUGCGUAGAUAUCAGGAGGAACACCGGUGGCGAAGGCGGGACUCUGGGCAGUAACUGACGCUGAGGAGCGAAAAGCGUGGGGAGCGAACAGG